rnacentral:rRNA from 1 species
UUACGGUCAAAUCACGCUGAAACACCGGUUCUCGUUCGAUCACCGAAGUUAAGCAUCGUAGAGCCAGGUCAGUACUUAGAUGGGGGACCGCUUGAUAACACCUGGUACUGUAAG